rnacentral:tRNA from 1 species
GGGGCUACAACUCAGUGGUAAAGUGCUUGCCUUGCAUGUAUGAGGCACUGGGUUCAAUCCUCAGCACCA